rnacentral:rRNA from 1 species
CCUACGGGCGGCAGCAGUAGGGAAUAUUGCUCAAUGGGGGAAACCCUGAAGCAGCAACGCCGCGUGGAGGAUGAAGGUUUUAGGAUUGUAAACUCCUUUUGUUAGAGAAGAUUAUGACGGUAUCUAACGAAUAAGCACCGGCUAACUCCGUGCCAGCAGCCGCGGUAAUACGGCGGGUGCAAGCGUUACUCGGAAUCACUGGGCGUAAAGAGUGCGUAGGCGGGGUAAUAAGUCAGAUGUGAAAUCCUGUGGCUUAACUACAGAACUGCAUUUGAAACUGUUACUCUGGAGUGUGGGAGAGGUAGGUGGAAUGCUUGGUGUAGGGGUAAAAUCCGUAGAGAUCAAGAGGAAUACUCAUUGCGAAGGCGACCUGCUGGAACAUUACUGACGCUGAUGCACGAAAGCGUGGGGAGCAAACAGGAUUAGAUACCCUGGUAGUC